GGAGAGAUGGCCGAGUUGGUUAUGGCGUCAGGUUAAGGCCUUUCAAAGUCUUAGCACUCAAGAAUCCUGUCCUUCUGGACGGAUUGACGUUUCCUGAUGGGAGCAAUCCCGCGUGGGUUCGAAUCCCACUCUCUUCA
rfam:Rhinocladiella mackenziei CBS 650.93 unplaced genomic scaffold supercont1.3, whole genome shotgun sequence.